rnacentral:rRNA from 1 species
UACGUAGGGUGCAAGCGUUAAUCGGAAUUACUGGGCGUAAAGCGUGCGCAGGCGGUUGUGUAAGACAGAUGUGAAAUGCCCGGGCUUAACCUGGGAACUGCAUUUGUGACUGCACGGCUAGAGUUUGGCAGAGGGGGGUAGAAUUCCACGUGUAGCAGUGAAAUGCGUAGAUAUGUGGAGGAAUACCGAUGGCGAAGGCAGCCCCCCUGGGUCAAGACUGACGCUCAUGCACGAAAGCGUGGGGAGCAAACAGGAUUAGAAACCCCGA